AUGUUUGGACAAGGCACCAAACUCAUUGUGAAAAGUCGGCCGCUGUCUUCUCCGGAGAUCAGCCUGCUGAGUCCAACUGUUCAGCAGCAGUCCACUCCUGAUCAAGUCACUGUCCUCUGUCAGGUGAAAAACUUCUACCCUGAUUAUGUUACUGUGAGCUGGAGUGUGGAUGGACAGGAUGCAUCUGGAGACAAAAAGGACACCAAGACUGUCCGGAGCUCUGACGGGACGUACAGCAUGAGCAGCAUUCUGUCUGUGUCCCGCUCUUCCUGGGAGGGUGCCCAGGCUUUCACCUGCCAGGUUCAGCAUGAGAGUCUGAAAACACCUGCCAGCCACAGUGUGAGCAAGAGCCAGUGCCUGGAGUGACCGCUGGAGCAGGUGUGAUGAGAGAGUUAUAACUGAAACCUCCCACACCCAGUCUCACUUCUGCUUUUCAGUUCAUCUCUCAUCUCUUUCACACUUUCAUAUCUCUCUCUCUCUCUUUCACACCCCAUCCCCACAUUUACAAGUUAGAUAUCAAUAAAUAAAUAAAUACUUAAAUCUGAGUAAUGGUCUUUUUGUUUACAUGCAACUGAUGCAGUAAAAUGUUUAAUGUUUAAGUAAAUAGAGGUAAAGUAAAAUAAAGCAAAGUAAAUAAACCCUCUUUUUUCCUUUUUGUUAAAAUUCUGAAAUAAGGAA